AACGAACGCUGGCGGCAUGCCUAACACAUGCAAGUCGAACGAGACCUUCGGGUCUAGUGGCGCACGGGUGCGUAACGCGUGGGAACCUGCCCUUAGGUUCGGAAUAACUCCCCGAAAGGGGUGCUAAUACCGGAUAAUGUCUUCGGACCAAAGAUUUAUCGCCUUUGGAUGGGCCCGCGUUGGAUUAGCUAGUUGGUAGGGUAAAAGCCUACCAAGGCGACGAUCCAUAGCUGGUCUGAGAGGAUGAUCAGCCACACUGGGACUGAGACACGGCCCAGACUCCUACGGGAGGCAGCAGUGGGGAAUAUUGGACAAUGGGCGAAAGACUGAGCCAGCAAUGCCGCGUGAGUGAUGAAGGCCUUAGGGUUGGAAAGCUCUUUUACCCGGGAUGAUAAUGACAGUACCGGGAGAAUAAGCGCCGGCUAACUCCGUG
rnacentral:rRNA from 1 species